rnacentral:tRNA from 1 species
GCCUCAUUAGCUCAGUGGUUAGACCACUGGUCUUGUAAACCUGCGGUCUGGAGUUCAAUUCUCUGAUGGGUCU